rnacentral:sRNA from 1 species
CCCAGGGCGACGCCCUGGGCUGGCAUCGGUCGCCCCUUCAGGGCU